rnacentral:lncRNA from 1 species
ACAGCUGGAAUGUGGCACGUGGGUCAGACCCUUCUGAGUCCAGUUGGGUAACUCAGCAGAGAUCAGAAUGAUCUUCAAAAACCAACAAGCCAUUGGCACGUAUCUUCAGGCAUGCUUGAAGUCUAUGGGGCCAAAUGGUAGAGUAUCCUGGCAGAGCCAAAAAGUCUUCUUUUAUGACACAGAAAAGAAAACUUCUUUCAAAGUAGUUAUGCAACCCAGGAGAACACAAUGCAUCCACUGUGUGUGUCCUGGGGCUGUCUAUGAACACAUGAUUUCAUAUUUUUGUCCUCUGUAAACUUCAGCAUUGAUGAUGAACAUUAUUUCAAGGAAAUAUCCCACUACUUUAUCUCUGUAAAGACAUCCAUAGAGAAUGGGCCUUUUAGAAAAUCUCACACCACUUCCUAGUUGGAGCAAUUAAACAAUAGAGAAGAUGGGUAUUCUGGAGCAGAAUUUAAUGAAACAGAACUCCACCAUCUAUGGCAAGUUUGACUGCUUGAGUCUCCAGAGGAUAAUAGUUGGAGGCCACUGAGGCCCAAAUUCAUCAGUCCGGCCAUUGAAGGACACAAGUGAACAAAGGAGGACGGCAAAGACAGAACUGUGAUAUUCAAACACUCAAUAGCUCACAGUGUCGGGGUUCAUUAUGACACUUACUAAGCACAUGCCAUAUUUCUGACACUGUGCUAAGAGUUUCAUGAACAUUAACUAAAUUAACCCCAUAAAAACGCCAUUAGAAAGAUGCAGUUUUGUACCCCCUUACACAGAUGAAGAAAAUAAAGUAUAGAGACUUUAAGAAAUUUGCCAGAAGUCUUAUAACUGGUGAGUAAACUUUAGCUACUUGAUCAGACCUCAACCAGGCGAUCAGAACCCAGAACCCAUACGGCUCAACCAAUACUUUAAUCUACUUCUCAAAGUCUAAGAUUGGUUUGCCAUGGCUCUUUGAAACAGUUACUCUUGUCCUCAUUGUAGAGAUGGCGAUACUAAGGCAGAAUAUGGCUAGCCUGGACUUCUUUUUGUGGAGACUGGAUUCCAAGAUUGAAAGUAGAAGCUACAUGUUUUCUCCAAGCAGGGCUUUCAGACUUCACUUCUGCAACAUUUUAUUGAUGAAAGCAAGUCACAAGACCAGACUGAUUCAAGGGGUGGAGAAAUAGACCCUACUUCUUGAUGGAGGGAGGAGUAGAGUUACAUUGCAAAGGGAUCUGGACAAAAAAAGGAGUGAUUUAUUAGGAAUCAUGUUUAACAAUUUACCACAAUCCCCAGCGCAACUGCCUGUUAGCUGGAUCCAGAAAUGUCUACGACUACUGCAAUGCCACUUGGCCUUAGGGGUGAUGUGACCCAGUGUAAAGAGAUGGUGGUCUUAACCAAUCACAGUUAAGAUAGUUUAGUUUUGGAAGGUAUAAAAAAUAUGUAACAACAUGAAUGCACUUUUAGGGUCAGACAAGAGACUUGGAAAGAGCCUGCAAAAUGGAGGAGCCCUGAGGCCUAAGUCUCAUGAGUGUCAAUGCUUACCUGUAUCUAGACACUGGCAUCCCCCUUUUGAUAAGGCCAAGAUUGAUUGUUUUCCUUUUCUACCUACCCUAUAUCUAAUCCAUGUACAAACACUGUUGACACACAAAAGAACCCUAAAUUCAACAAUCUGUGAAGAAUUUUUGCACUAACAUGUUAGUUCAAAAACUCAACAUUGCUUGCUAAGACUAUUGCAAUAAACUCCUCUAUGAUCCCCUAAUUUGAUUCUUGCUCCUCUUAUUUUUUACACAGUCAUCAGAGUAAAUCUUUUCAAAGGUAAAUUGGAUUUUAUGACUUUU